GCCCCUAUAGCUCAGCUGGUAGAGCAACUGAUUUGUAAUCAGUGGGUCGGGAGUUCGAGUCUCUCUGGGGGCA
rfam:Rhodobacteraceae bacterium HLTCCA08 ITZX_scaf_177, whole genome shotgun sequence.